AACCCAGUGUGAGGGCACCUUCUCAAUAGGUCCUUGUAUCUCUCCCAUGCAUCAUAGAGUGUUUCUAGAUCCAUCUGCACAAAAGAAGAGAUAUCAUUCCUUAAUUU
rfam:Gossypium arboreum cultivar AKA8401 contig_73510_1, whole genome shotgun sequence.